UUCGCGGGGCUGCGGGGUCGCUCGGAUGGAGCUGGGGAGGGGAGGGGAAAGGAGGGGAGGGGAAGGGAGGGCAGGGGGUUAGGCAACCGAAGACCCGCUCCUUCCCACGCCCGCCUCUCCGAUUCACGGACGGCGACCCUCCCACCCCCGUGCCGCCCUUGCGCUCGGCCGCGCGCCCCGCCGCCGAGGCGCUCGCACCCGCGCACCGCGCUCCCCACCCGCGCAGCCCGCCCGCCCGCCUCCGGAGGCCGCCCGCCCACUCGGCCGCGCGUGGGGAGCGGCGGCUGCGCGGCCGGCCGGUUGGCCGGCGGAGCGGAGAAGCUCCCGGGAGGAUGCCAAGGUGCGGGGGCGCGUCGCCCCCCUCAGGCCACCAGAGCCCGGAUACCUCAGACCUUCGGCUCUGGGUCUGUGGGGAGCGAAAUGCAACCCCAAGCCCCGUUCUCCCCGCAGCUUAGCCCGGCCCCGCGCCGGUAAACACGCACAAGCACGCACACAGACGUCGCUCGCAGCCGCGGCUCCCGGCGUGACGGAAGAGCCCCGGGCCCGAGAUGGGUCGCCGCCCGCCGCCUUCGCCUAGCUGCCCGGGGCGCGGCCGCUCGCCCUCGCCGCUCGCCGCUCACCGCUCGCGGGUGCGACCGAAGUGCCCGGCGUAACGGCCGGUCUGGGUGGGCCUGCAGCCGCGGCGGCCCCGGUCGGACGGGAGCGGCCGCCCGACGGACACAGCUGGCAGCUUAUGCAUCUACAGUCUAUACCAUGAGGCCAGUGUGUUUGAAGAGUAACUCAGCAGUUUCUGAACAAAGCUGACCACCAAAUUAGCCCACGAAAUAAAAGGACAGUGAGUGUGGACAUAAGAAGCACAUCUUUUGGAAACAUUCGGGACUAAUGGACAAUGAUAAAACUUUAGUCCAUUCCAGAAAAGUCAAAAGCCAUUCUUUCAUUUUGUAAAGCUAGCAUCACAGUCACCAUGUUGGUCAGCGUUCUCUCUCUUUUACUGAUGGAAGCUCUGCCUUACCUGUCCAGGUUUACGCCAUAUGCUUGGAGCCUGGCUCGAAGGCAUAGAUUUAGAUAGAACCUGACUACUCUGGAGGCUGAGGCAAGAACAUCGCAGGCUCAAGGGCUGCCUGAAGAUAGACCCUGUUUCAAAAAGUCUAAAGAGUCUGAGGAUAUAGCUCAGAGCCUGUACACUACCCAGAAAUGCAAAAAAGCAAACAUUGGGACUUGGUCUCAUUUCUGUUGUUCCCAAGCCAUAAAUCCUGCUAUCUAGUCUCAGUCCACAGUUCCUCGGCUUGGAUGCUUCUGCGUUCAUGUUGAGGCAGAAUACCACGACAAGGAAACAGGUCACAUCAACAGAUGGGAGGAGGGCAGGGGCAGCAGAAGCAAGGGGAUAGACUUCCCAAAAGCAUGUUCUUAAAUACCCGCUUUCAACAGGGUCCCAAGUUUUCACAAUCUAAUAUAAUAGCCCAUCAAAGGAUUAAUCUGUAGAUGGCUUAGAGUCCUCAUGAGAGAAUCUUUUCCCCAAAGACAUGUAGCCCAGCCUGAGCUCCAACUAUGUAGGACAUACUUAAACUUUUGGUCCCCUUACCUCUGUGAGUGCUAGGGUUACAAGCAUGUAUAACCAGUUCAUGUGAUGUUAGUGAUCAAAUCCAGGGCUUUGUGCACGCUAUGCUAGGCAAGCUACCAACUGAGCUUCAUCCCCAGUCAUGGCUUCUGUAUUCAGGUUUCAGUGAUUAAUGGGCUCUCUGGAAGUUCACCUGUUAAAUUACUAAGCUACAGGAGUCCAUCUGAUAAGCACCUGUAGGAAUCCCUCUUAUUUACAACUGGAGAAGCAGCUGGGUGUGGUGGAGUACUUUGUACUUUGAUUACAGCCCUUGAAUGGCGGUCUGGUGGUUCUGUGAGCUAAAGGCCAGCCUAGUCUGUCUAGUGAGAUCCAGGACAGCAACAGCUAGUGAGACCCUGUCCCAAAUGAACAAUGCCCCUAAACUUUGGAAGUCCCCCCAGGACCAUAUUCCAAAUGUUUCAACCAUCAUUGCUGAAUGUGGUUUUACUUUAAAGGCCAUAGGAAGAUGCUGAAUAGUUAGCUGGGAAGCCAGAUGAUAUGAUAUCCUUCUUCUGCCGCAGUGUAGACCGUGGACUGGGGCUAUUGAAGACACAAAAGUGAGAAAAUGUUGACAGCUGGAAGGAGGGGGGUGCUUGAAGAGAUGGCUGAGAAUACAAAGGAGCUGUUUCCCAGAAGAGAUGAGCCUUGGACUAAGAGAUGCAGGAGGGCAGAAGCAGCUAGCUAGCACACCAGGGGUGUGCUGUUUUUAGUUAGGCUAGUGGGUGAGUGCUGACACAAUUGAGGCAAAAAAUAAAAAUCCUGGAAUGAACAUGUGAGAAUGAGUUCAGAUAAUGCAUGGGUUGGGUUUGAAGUUUCUGGGACAUCCUGGAGAUGUACUAUUGGUACUUAGAAUAGAACAUAAUGUUUACAGAAUGGAAGAACAUGGCAAAGAAAAGUUGAACGUGUGAAGAGAAGGAAAAACCUAAUGCUAAGGAGACAGACACAGGCUUAGGACUUCCUAACUGAUCUACUUCUCCACAGUUGGCUGUGGCAAUCAGUCCAACUUUGUUAGUCAUUAAGUCUAAUAAUUGAGUGAAUUUUGAGGACAUCACUAAACCAAGACAAAUUCACCCAUUAUUCAAAUCCAGAUGGUCCCUCGCAGGUGUGACUUGAACUGAUUACAGUGGAGAGAAAGCAAUUUGGAUUGCACAGAAUCUGCACCUUUGUUUUCCUGGCUAGUGGUAGGUGUAGAGGAUGUUGACACGACUUAUGCAUACCUGCUUCUUCCAGUGUACAAGCUAUGGUGUGUGGAUAAAGUAAAAGUAUUCCUGGAACAAACUCAUGCAGAAACAAAAGAACUAAGUGAACCUCAAGCCUGAAAUGACAGAAGCCUCCCUGGAAAAUAUGGGGUAAAAGAUGCAAGAGGGCUGGAGUUUAUCUUAGCAAUUGAAACUGGAGGAAUAAUUAGUUUUGUUCUAAACGAAACAGGAUUAAACAGUAGGAUUUUCACUGGUCAGUAGAAAAUGACUUAAUUUUCCUCCUCCAGUGGCUUAGGCAGGCACUCCACCUGACCUGCUUUCUGGUACCUGAGGAAUGCUAAUCACGCCUUAAUGCAACCUCCACAUACACCAUGGCAGCUUUAUAACAUUUACACAUUGUUUGAUCAUUUCAAAAAAUCUUUCUUUUUUAAAAAAAAACAAAUCUAUGUACUUAUUAUUUAAGUGUAGGAAUGCUCUGUCUGCAUGUACAGACAUGCCAGAAGGUAUCAUCAGAUACCUUCACAAAAGGUCAUGAGCCAGCAUAAACUCAACGCAAGCAGGGAACUGAACUCAGGACUUCUGGAAGAGCAGCCAGUGUUCUUAACCACUGAACCAUCUCAGCAGCCCUCAAGAGUUCUUUAACCAUAACUGCUUUUGUACUGCUUAUUUAUCUAUUAAUUGUAUUUUCCUUAAAUAACCAGAUGCUGAAAAUUGGACAAACAUUAAAAUAGUUGAUACUCACUUUCCUUUUAACAGUCUAAAACCAGACAUAUCAUCUUAUACAUAUCACCCACUUUUAUUCUAAGGGGCACACAAUUGAUUUUGUCAGUAAUCUUUAUUUCCAAAUAGAAAUCACUAUUUAUACCUAUUUAUAUAAAUUAUGUGAUAAUCUUCAGCAAAUCAAGAUCUAUAAAAUGCUAUGGUUUGCUUUGUCAAUUUUAAUUGCGAAAUUUCUUUUUUUUCCGGAACUUCUUUCCUUCUGCAUUUGCUGCUUUUUCAGCCAUGAUUUCUGAAUACUUUCUGCGAUUAAAUCUGAAAGAAAAAAAAUCAAACCUUUAUGCUCUAAUCUAAAGUAUGAUGUAUCAGUUAUUAGCAGUUAAUACAACUUUUGAGAGGAGGCUCAAUCCCAAAAUGCUCUACUGAAUCUUCUUGUAGAAACCACAUUGCUACCAAGAGUCAGGAGGCUGAGGGCAGCAGUGGUCUCUGUCCUAAGUUUGAAUUCAGUUUACUUGGGUUUUGAGAUUGGGUCUUGUUAUGGCUGGCCUUGAACUUCCUUUACUCAGCUUCCUAUGCACUGGAGUUACAGAGCUGGGUACAGUGAGCAGUUGGGAGACAGAGGGCAGCCAAUCUGAGCUCCAGGACAGCCAGAACUAUAUAGUGAGAUACCUUGUCUCAAAACAAAAGCCAAAACCUUAAAAAACAAAGAACAAUGAUUUUCAAAGUCUGCUCUCCAGAUGAGAGGUCUGUUAAGAAGUUUUCACAAGAACUGGAAGGUACUAACUACCCCUCCCCAUUGUUCUUGUGAGGGUACAAUCACAUUUGAGAGGGUAAAUGACAGGUGGUUUGGCAGAAAUAGACUGGAGUCCCUGGCUUCCUCAUGCCAAAGACCAGUCACCAAAUGUAAUCUACAAACUUAUGUGAACUAAAAAAACCACACACACACAUUAUAAAAUGUAAAUUACCUCCUGAACUCAGAAUCAGCCAGCAGUUCUUCCACAAUAGUCUUUUUCCUCUGUUUCUUGGGAAUUCGUGAAUGGUAGAAGUCAGCUGGAUUAUCAACGAUGGUUCCAACCUAAGAAAAAUUGAAGGAAAUAAAUCAUACAAUACCUGGAUGUUAAGUUGCUCCACAUUUCAGUAUAGAUCUAAAGCUUUUUUGUAGAAAGGAACAGAAAGCACAACCUAUUUUAUACAUGUAUUAAGAUUAUGCCAUUUUAUAAAAGCAAAAAUAAACCUAUUAUUAGCCAGUACACUGGUACUACCAAUAUUUCCCUAUUACAGUGUAGUGUAGUAGGUCACAACCUUAAGGCACAGCCAGACAUUACAGCACUAAAAAUUAAGAACUAAAGACAUUACAGAACAAACGACAGUGUACAAGAGAACACUAUACAUGGCUCUCAAGACACAGUGACCUGGUUUACUAAAGGAGUUAAGAAUGACAAACAUGACAUUUUAACUUGGCUCUAUAUAGUUCACAGAUCACUAAGCAAACAAGGGAGAAUAAAGUCAAAGAACAGCAGAGACUGGGUAAUAUAAACCCCAUGUCUCCAUUUUAAGGACCAGGCCUGAUUUCAAAAAAGUCCAUAAGGUGCUAGCUUCCGGAAUAGACCCUAAGUUCCAGAAACUAGAUCCUAAGACACCAGCUCUAGGAACAGACCAUAAAAUCCAGAACAAGAUCAUAAAACCCUCUCUGAAAGAACAGCCUGGGGAUAACCACAAAAAUGGGGAAAUAUUUUAUCUCAGAGUGGGUCACGUGCGCUCGACACAGGAAUGUAGACCACUGAUCACCUGUUAUCCCCUAGCACCCAUCAAUGAAAUUUUAGAUUACCUAAUCUUUUUAGAUAGUUCCAACAGUUCCCUAUAAGAAAGCCUGCAUGCCUUUGUCUAGAGUCGCCAUUUUGGAGAAUGGUUGAUUGCCACCCCCUCCAUGCUGGAUGUUUCUACCGAAUAAAUGAUCUUUACUUUUGCA